rnacentral:ncRNA from 2 species
UCAAAAUAUGUACGUUUUCUUCAUAUAUCCUCGAUAAUACGGAUCGAGAGUCUCUACCGGGUCACCGUUAAAUGACCUGACUAUGAAGGCGGAAUUUUUCUGU